GGCCCCAAGGAGCUCCAUGGAGGAAGGGGAAAAAACAGGCCAUAAUGGUUUAAAAAAAAAAAAAAAGUAUGUCAGGAUAAGCAAAUGGCACAUACCGAGGAGAAGUAAUUUCAGCUCCCUCCUGGAAUCUCGCUUGUCUCGGCGAAGUUGUUUGUCAAUUUCGGCAUUGAUUCGCUUCGACUCCUUCGCCUCCUCGCUCAGGCAGCAAGCCAUCAUGGACUCCAGAGUCAUCCUCCCCGUCUUGCCCUUCUUUUUAGGGGGCAGUCCCGCUUUUUUUGGAGCCGGAAAAACACUCGCCUCGCCCCGGCGGAUUUUCAGCUUCCUCCGCACCCGGCCGAUUCUGUGGAAGUCGGACGGACGGACGGGCGGGCGAGGGAGGGAGGGAGAGGCGCAGGAGGGCUAGCAGGGCGGUCGGUCUCGCAGGACGGGGACGAGUGGACCCGGCCGGGGAGGAGGUGGCGGCGGCGUCGGUGGAGGAGGAAGGGGGAGGGGAAGCUUCAACCACCGGGGCCUCGCUGUCAACUUGCCCCGCUUUGCUAGCCGAGCUGGAGCCGCCACUUGUGGCCCUGUUCCUCGGACAAAGUGGCGGUAAUACCGCGUCUCCUUCUUCUCAAUAAUAACAACUAUAACCAACACCGGCUUCAAAAUACAAACUAAAUCGGCUUUUUUUUUUUUUCACCCUCUUCGUUAGACGGCUGACAUCCAAAGCCGAAGAAACGUCGCUUAUCACCGCGGUGCUAGCCGGCUAGCAAAAGACUCACGACCGGGGGUGGGGAGAAAAUGUUAGAUAUUAAGUCGCGCUUGUUGUCAAAAAAAAAUAAUUAAAAGAAAAAAAAACGUUUUGGCUAACGUUAGCCUAGCCAAGCCCGGCGUUGCCUUCUCUCUGCCGGGUUGGGGGUGGAGAAGCGGACCGGAGUCAGUCCGGAGCUAGCUAGCGAUGGCGGGGCAGCACCCCCAUCACGCCCUGGGUCAUUUUGACGGUUUAGGGACGGGGUUUUUUUUUUUUUUUUUCUGGUCAAAGGCGCCGCGGCUGGAGGCUCGUCGCUGGAUGGAAGAAGGCGGUGUGCUGCACAUCCAGCAGCGGCAGCCUGAUGCAUUGGCAGGGGGGAGGAGAUGCUGAGUGACAGCAGCGGGACGAGCUGGGUGGAUCCCAGUUAAGUUGUUUACGAUGAUGGGCUCCUGUCAUCAGACUGUUGAAAAUAGUCACAAAAAAGUUGCCGGACUUCCUCACCCUGACUCGGUUCGCCAGCGUUCGGGGGAGCCUCGGCGUAGCUGGGCUGGGGGCUUUCCGCCUCGGCCACCUCGGUCAGCCACUCGGCGUUGAAGGCGUCGCCGUGGGACUCGCACACGUUGUGCAGAAUGCAGCAGGCCAGGAUCAUGGUGGGCACCACGUGCAGCCCGCAGUCGUUCCUCUUGCUCAGGCACUGCCAGCGCGCCUUCAGCCUCAGCAGCGCCUCCUGGGAGACGUGGCGCGCUCUGCGGAGGCGCUGGUUGAAAAGCUGCUGGCGCUCCGUCAGCGCCACGGGGUUGGACCUGGUGGGCCUUUUGUCCGGGUAGGCCUUCAUCAGCCAGCUCUGGAGCGGGUAGCAGGGCUCCCCGAGCAGCACGUAGCUAGACAGCAAGUGACGUGAAAGCGUUACCAAAAUGGAUACAUGGAUGAUACAGCAGAGGAUUGGGAGAAUGUCAUGUGGUCAGAUGAAACCAAAAUAGAACUUUUUGGUACAAACUCAACUUGUCGUGUUUGGAGGAAGAAGAAUACUGAGUUGCAUCCCAAGAACACCAUACCUACUGUGAAGCAUGGGGGUGGAAACAUCAUGCUUUGGGGCUGUUUUCCUGCUAAGGGGACAGGACGAUUGAUCCGUGUUAAGGAAAGAAUGAAUGGGGCCAUGUAUCGUGAGAUUUUGAGCCAAAACUUCCUUCAAUCAAUGAGAGCUUUGAAUGGUUGACCAAAUACUUAUUUUCCACCAUAAUUUACAAAUAAAUUCUUUAAAAUUCCUACAAUGUGAAUUCCUGGAUUUUUUUUUUCACAUUCUUUGACAGCUCUUUGGUCUUGGCCGUAGUGGAGUUUGGAGUCUGACUGUUUGAAGCUGUGGACAGGUGUCUUUUAUACAGAUAACGAGUUCAAACAAGUGCCAUUAAUACAUGUAACGAGUAGAGGGCAGAAUAGCUUCUUAAAGAAGAAGUUACAGGUCUGUGAGAGCCAGAGAUCUUCCUUGUUUGGAUAAGCUGAUUGGCAACACUAAGUUAGCCCUAGUGUGUGAAUGUGAAUGUUGUCUGU